AUUGAACGCUGGCGGCAGGCCUAACACAUGCAAGUCGAGCGGAUGAAGGGAGCUUGCUCCUGGAUUCAGCGGCGGACGGGUGAGUAAUGCCUAGGAAUCUGCCUGGUAGUGGGGGAUAACGUCCGGAAACGGGCGCUAAUACCGCAUACGUCCUGAGGGAGAAAGUGGGGGAUCUUCGGACCUCACGCUAUCAGAUGAGCCUAGGUCAGAUUAGCUAGUUGGUGGGGUAAAGGCCUACCAAGGCGACGAUCCGUAACUGGUCUGAGAGGAUGAUCAGUCACACUGGAACUGAGACACGGUCCAGACUCCUACGGGAGGCAGCAGUGGGGAAUAUUGGACAAUGGGCGAAAGCCUGAUCCAGCCAUGCCGCGUGUGUGAAGAAGGUCUUCGGAUUGUAAAGCACUUUAAGUUGGGAGGAAGGGCAGUAAGUUAAUACCUUGCUGCUUUGACGUUACCAACAGAAUAAGCACCGGCUAACUUCGUG
rnacentral:rRNA from 1 species